rnacentral:rRNA from 1 species
UCAUUACCGAGUUUUCAACUCCCAAACCCCUGUGAACAUACCAUUUUGUUGCCUCGGCGGUGCCUGUUCCGACAGCCCGCCAGAGGACCCCAAACCCAAACUUCCUUGAGUGAGUCUUCUGAGUAACCGAUUAAAUCAAUCAAAACUUUCAACAACGGAUCUCUUGGUUCUGGCAUCGAUGAAGAACGCAGCGAAAUGCGAUAAGUAAUGUGAAUUGCAGAAUUCAGUGAAUCAUCGAAUCUUUGAACGCACAUUGCGCCCGCCAGUAUUCUGGCGGGCAUGCCUGUUCGAGCGUCAUUACAUCCCUCAAGCCCCCGGGCUUGGUGUUGGGGAUCGGCGAGCCUCAGCGCCCGCCGUCCCCUAAAUUUAGUGGCGGUCACGCUGUAACUUCCUCUGCGUAGUAGCACACUUAGCACUGGGAAACAGCGCGGCCACGCCGUAAAACCCCCCAACUUUUGAACGUUUGACCUCGAAUCAGGUAGGACUACCCGCUGAACUUAAGCAUAUCAAUAAGACGGAG